rnacentral:rRNA from 1 species
GUCCAGACUCCUACGGGAGGCAGCAGUGAGGAAUAUUGGUCAAUGGGCGGAAGCCUGAACCAGCCAAGUCGCGUGAGGGAAUAAGGCCCUACGGGUCGUAAACCUCUUUUGCCGGGGAGCAAGGGCCGGGACGCGUCCCGGCCCGGAGAGUACCCGGAGAAAAAGCAUCGGCUAACUCCGUGCCAGCAGCCGCGGUAAUACGGAGGAUCCGAGCGUUAUCCGGAUUUAUUGGGUUUAAAGGGAGCGUAGAUGGGUUGUUAAGUCAGUUGUGAAAGUUUGCGGCUCAACCGUAAAAUUGCAAUUGAUACUGGCAGUCUUGAGUACAGUUGAGGUAGGCGGAAUUCGUGGUGUAGCGGUGAAAUGCUUAGAUAUCACGAAGAACUCCGAUUGCGAAGGCAGCUUACUAAACUGCCACUGACAUUGAUGCUCGAAAGUGUGGGUAUCAAACAGGAUUAGAUACCCCAGUA